GUGUAGCUCAGUGGUAGAGCACUUGCUUAUACAGCAUGUGUGAGGUCUAGAUUUGAUCUCUAGCAC
rnacentral:tRNA from 1 species